rnacentral:rRNA from 1 species
GACGAACGCUGGCGGCGUGCUUAACACAUGCGAGUCGAACGGAAAGGCCCUGCUUUUGUGGGGUGCUCGAGUGGCGAACGGGUGAGUAUCACGUGAGUAACCUGCCCUUGACUUUGGGAUAACUUCAGGAAACUGGGGCUAAUACCGGAUAGGAGCUCCUGCUGCAUGGUGGGGGUUGGAAAGUUUCGGCGGUUGGGGAUGGACUCGCGGCUUAUCAGCUUGUUGGUGGGGUAGUGGCUUACCAAGGCUUUGACGGGUAGCCGGCCUGAGAGGGUGACCGGCCACAUUGGGACUGAGAUACGGCCCAGACUCCUACGGGAGGCAGCAGUGGGGAAUAUUGCACAAUGGGCGGAAGCCUGAUGCAGCAACGCCGCGUGCGGGAUGACGGCCUUCGGGUUGUAAACCGCUUUCGCCUGCGACGAAGCGUGAGUGACGGUAAUGGGUAAAGAAGCACCGGCUAACUACGUG